rnacentral:rRNA from 1 species
AGGGCGAACGCUGGCGGCAGGCCUAACACAUGCAAGUCGAGCGCCCCGCAAGGGGAGCGGCAGACGGGAGAGUAACACGUGGGAACGUACCCUUCAGUUCGGAACAACCCAGGGAAACUUGGGCUAAUGCCGAAUACGUCCGUAAGGAGAAAGAUUUAUCGCUGAAGGAUCGGCCCGCGUCUGAUUAGCUAGUUGGUGAGGUAACGGCUCACCAAGGCGACGAUCAGUAGCUGGUCUGAGAGGAUGAUCAGCCUCACUGGGACUGAGACACGGCCCAGACUCCUACGGGAGGCAGCAGUGGGGAAUAGUUGGACAAUGGGCGACAAGCCUG